GGGGGCGUAAUGGUUUCGACGGGGAUUUUGAAAGCGGGAAUAGCCAUCCGCAGACGGUGACUGCGUAUAAAAACCGAACCUACAUCUACUCGACCACGAUUACGCACUAGCCGCUGCUUAAUUAAAGCAGCCGUCGGCCUGAGGACGCCCGCCGCCUCAGUAACCGGCGUCGACUAGGCGGGGCACUUGGCCGCUUAAGCUUUGCGGCGGCUGAAGAUCCAUGAAGCUACCUGAACGUAAGUCGUGUUGGUUUGCCUUACGGGAUGGGAAUUUUGAAUAACCAACUGUGAUGGGAGAAGUUGCCGCCGCCAGAUUUUCGGACCCGGGUUCGAUUCCCGGCGCCUCCAUGG
rnacentral:tmRNA from 1 species